rnacentral:rRNA from 1 species
AACGCUAGCUACAGGCUUAACACAUGCAAGUCGAGGGGAAACGACAUUGAAAGCUUGCUUUUGAUGGGCGUCGACCGGCGCACGGGUGAGUAACGCGUAUCCAACCUGCCCACCACUUGGGGAUAACCUUGCGAAAGUAAGACUAAUACCCAAUGACGUCUCUAGAAGACAUCUGAAGGAGAUUAAAGAUUUAUCGGUGAUGGAUGGGGAUGCGUCUGAUUAGCUUGUUGGCGGGGUAACGGCCCACCAAGGCAACGAUCAGUAGGGGUUCUGAGAGGAAGGUCCCCCACAUUGGAACUGAGACACGGUCCAAACUCCUACGGGAGGCAGCAGUGAGGAAUAUUGGUCAAUGGGCGAGAGCCUGAACCAGCCAAGUAGCGUGCAGGAUGACGGCCCUAUGGGUUGUAAACUGCUUUUAUAAGGGAAUAAAGUGAGUCUCGUGAGACUUUUUGCAUGUACCUUAUGAAUAAGGACCGGCUAAUUCCGUGCCAGCAGCCGCGGUAAUACGGAAGGUCCGGGCGUUAUCCGGAUUUAUUGGGUUUAAAGGGAGCGUAGGCCGGAGAUUAAGCGUGUUGUGAAAUGUAGACGCUCAACGUCUGCACUGCAGCGCGAACUGGUUUCCUUGAGUACGCACAAAGUGGGCGGAAUUCGUGGUGUAGCGGUGAAAUGCUUAGAUAUCACGAAGAACUCCGAUUG